CCGAGUUUACAACUCCCAAACCCCUGUGAACAUACCACUUGUUGCCUCGGCGGAUCAGCCCGCUCCCGGUAAAACGGGACGGCCCGCCAGAGGACCCCUAAACUCUGUUUCUAUAUGUAACUUCUGAGUGAAACCAUAAAUAAAUCA
rnacentral:misc_RNA from 1 species